rnacentral:lncRNA from 1 species
AGAGAGCGGGGCGCGGGCUGCGGGGCCCGGCGGCCUGGACGGCGGAGCGUUGAAAGCUCCCCCAGGGAUAGGAAGUGCAGCCGAAAUCAACGACUGAGGUCAGUGAAGGAGCGGACGCUUGAGGCCUUGGAGGGGAAGCAGGUUUCUCCAGGAGGGAACCCGGGCCUCCGCUUUGCUCAGCGCUCCCCUCGCGAAUGUGUUGAGCACCUGUUAUGUGCUGGGGGUACAGAGGGUCUGAGCACCUCCCUCAUGACCUCCCUCAUGCAGACAGAGCCCUGGCUCCCAUGUUCACCAUGCUGAGAAAGACCUGCGGGGGACAGCAGGAGGACAGCCGGGGAAUGGGCCCGCACUUGCCCAGAGGCCCUGAUGGUAUCGUCUUGGGAGUGGAGGAACCUGAGGGAAAAGCCCAGGGGCGAGUCAGGGGAGAGCUCUGCCCUGGUGCCCUUGCACGUAUCCACAUGGGCCACAGCUGCACCCGGCUCUCAGCAGAGGGCAUCGCCAUGCUCCUGGGCACAGCCGGGCCCUCUCGCCUCCCUGCAGCUCCUGAUGCCUACCAGGCUCCGCUGAGGUCACCUUGGGCACUUAGCGUGGCUGCAGCUCUUUGCAGCCCCGUGUCCUGUCAUCCAUGUGGCCGUCAUGUGGUCACUUUUGGGCAUUGCCCUGCGCAAGGUCCAUGGGGACUGGGCACCUUUGGCCAUUCUUUCUUUGGUUGUCUGUGCAAGUAAUAAACUAAAUCUGAAAA